UCAGCAGUGAGGAAUAUUGGUCAAUGGCCUAACGGCUGAACCAGCAACUUGCAGGAAUGAGAGUUAAUAUAAUAAGUUUAUUAACUUGCUUGACUAGGUCUUAUAAAGUUCUGGAUAAAGCUUAUUAUGAAAACUUUAUAUCCAUAGGUCUCGACCAAAUCUUGUGCCAGCAGUCGCGGUAAGACAAGGGAGACGAGUGUUAUUCAUCUUUAACAGGUAUAUAGGGUACCUAGACGGUGUGCAAUGGCUUAAAUAAGUACCUGGUACACUUGAGUUUGAUAUGUGAGAGGAAUAUGUCGGAAUUGUUGGAGGAAAGAUGAAAUUUGUUAAUACCAAUAGGACUGAUAACGGCGAAGGCAAACCUCUAUGUACAUGUACUUGCUAUCUCUCUAUUAGAGAGGAACAGAAAUUUCUCUUAUAAAAAAUCUUAUAUAAAAAAAGAGGAAAACAGCAAUGUGCUAUAACUGACGUUGAGGGACGAAGGCUCAGAGAGUGAAGAGGAUUAGAUACCCCCGUAACCUGGGCAGACAAUGAUGAGUGCCAUAGGUUGGCUUUAAGGCGGAACUAUAAA
rnacentral:rRNA from 1 species